UACGGGGGGAGCAAGCGUUGUUCGGAUUUACUGGGCGUAAAGGGCGCGUAGGCGGCCACCGCAAGUCGACUGUGAAAUCUCCGGGCUUAACCCGGAAAGGUCAGCCGAUACUGCGGGGCUAGAGUGCAGAAGGGGCAACUGGAAUUCUCGGUGUAGCGGUGAAAUGCGUAGAUAUCAAGAGGAACACCUGAGGUGAAGACGGGUUACUGGGCCAACACUGACGCUGAGGCGCGAAAGCCAGGGGAGCAAACGGG
rnacentral:rRNA from 1 species